CCUGGUGAGUCCCCGGCUGCGUCCUGCUGCUCCCAGCCGCUCCCCCGGUUAUCCCAGCACUCAAAACAGAACAAAUGUUCUCCAGAAAUACUAUCUGCUGAUCCUACCAGUAUGUCAGAACAUACAGAUCGGGAGCACUAAGUCAUAAAAGAAAGAUGUACCGACAAUGCAGAUCAGGGAAUAAUCGUCAGAUGACCUUGGCAAGAUAUACCCAAGAACUUCGGCUUUAAUUAUUUUUGAAAACAUGAAUGCUCUGUAACAAUGGUUAUGAGAUCCCUGGAAUAUCUUUUAUGAAGUUCACAUUUUAAAUAGUCCUUGGGUAUGAAAUUUUAAAACUUAUACAUCUAUGUAUUGAACUGUGCUUUCUUAAAAUAGAAAACUGGCAUGUAUGUAUUUUGUUUCAGGUUACC